UUCCGGUUGAUCCUGCCGGACCCUACUGCUAUCGGGGUGGGACUAAGACAUGCGAGUUGAGCGUCUCUAAGCUAUGGUAGAGACGCGGCGUACGGCUCAGUAACACGUGGCUAACCUACCCUUAGGACGGGGACAACCCCGGGAAACUGGGGCUAAUACCCGAUAGGCGAGGAGGCCUGGAAUGGUUCUUAGUCGAAAAGGCGUUGAAACCAUGCUUUUCGACGUCGCCUAAGGAUGGGGCCGCGCCCGAUCAGGUUGUUGGUGGGGUAACGGCUCACCAAGCCUAUAACCGGUACGGGCCGUGAGAGCGGGAGCCCGGAGAUGGGCACUGAGACAAGGGCCCAGGCCCUACGGGGCGCAGCAGUCGCGAAAACUCCGCAAUGCGCGAAAGCGUGACGGGGCUACCCCGAGUGCCGUCCGCUGAGGAUGGCUUUUCUCCGGUGUAAUGAGCCGGGGGAAUAAGGAGAGGGCAAGUCUGGUGUCAGCCGCCGCGGUAAUACCAGCUCUCCGAGUGGUAGGGAUGAUUAUUGGGCUUAAAGCGUCCGUAGCCGGCUUAGCAAGUCUCCUGUUAAAUUCAGCGACCUAAUCGUUGAGCCGCGGGAGAUACUACUAGGCUAGGAGGCGGGAGAGGCCGACGGUAUUCUCGGGGUAGGGGUGAAAUCCUAUAAUCCCGGGAGGACCACCAGUGGCGAAGGCUGUCGGCUAGAACGCGCUCGACGGUGAGGGACGAAAGCUGGGGGAGCGAACCGGAUUAGAUACCCGGGUAGUCCCAGCUGUAAACGAUGCGGGCUAGGUGUUGGGGUGGCUACGAGCCACUUCAGUGCCGCAGGGAAGCCAUUAAGCCCGCCGCCUGGGGAGUACGGCCGCAAGGCUGAAACUUAAAGGAAUUGGCGGGGGAGCACCACAAGGCGUGAAGCUUGCGGUUCAAUUGGAU
rnacentral:rRNA from 1 species